UACAGAGGGGGCAAGCGUUGUUCGGAAUUACUGGGCGUAAAGGGCGCGUAGGCGGCCCGCUAAGUCGGACGUGAAAUCCCUCAGCUUAACUGGGGAACUGCGUCCGAUACUGGAUGGCUUGGAUUUGGGAGAGGGAUGCGGAAUUCCAGGUGUAGCGGUGAAAUGCGUAGAUAUCUGGAGGAACACCGGUGGCGAAGGCGGCAUCCUGGACCAAUAUUGACGCUGAGGAGCGAAAGCUAGGGGAGCAAACGGGG
rnacentral:rRNA from 1 species